ACAAUGGUUUUUUUCAAUACCAUAAAAUAUAAAGAAAAAGAUGAUA
rfam:Callithrix jacchus chromosome 11, whole genome shotgun sequence